CAACUGAAGCGCAAAUAGUAUUCCUAUCGAGCAUACCCCAGCGUGCUUGUCAUCUCGUGCGUUCGUAUUGAGGUAAAAUGGUGCAAAAAAAACCUAGUGCAAAUAAUCAGAACACUGUGAAUUUGUUUCUGCCCAACUUACCAAUCGUUCCCAAUUCGAUCUCAAUGGAUCGAUCGAUUGAAGCCCGUUCGGGGUAGGGGAAUUUUGGGAUGCCUUUUUUCUAGCCAGUUUACAAUGCAAUGGUAAGUUAGCUGAGCCGUUGAAAGUUCCUAGAGGACGCCCGAGGCAAAAUGAGGCACACAAAAAAAGACAAGUUGCCCUUACAUUGUCAGAAAAGAAUUCCUGAAAAUCAAUCCAUCCGCUGGGUAUUCAAAGCAGCAAAUUGAAUGAAGCAGCGAAGUGAAGCGGCCAACGGGAUUCACAAAUUCGUACUUAAUCUCUUCCAGCAGCCAGUUUUCUGUCGGCACGAAACGCAAACGGGCAAUAUAGCGAUCCGCUUACGCGAAGGCACGCGGGCACUGAGAGUGAACUGAUAAGCUCGUCCGACUUACGGGCAAGCCGCGUGCAUCCAAUGGCUCGUUGGGACGGCGUCCCAAAGAACGGAGAUGAUAAGCUUAAAGGUUGGUGCUUCGCUUCCACAUUGGUGAUAACGAGUGUUGAAUAUUUUUCCGUUGCCGUAUCGAACUGUGAUUUUGGUUUUGCCGUGGAUUAUCAGUUUCUGGUUCUUGCCGUGGCCGGCUCGUGUGUGAGGUAUUUCGGUUCAUUUCAGGUUCGGCGGGUUUUAUUUGCUGUUGGCUUUGUCCUUUUCACCGUGAAUGGAGGAUAUUCCUGUCUAUUAAAUUGUUUAGUAUCCGAUUAUCAUAAUCGCCACACUGCAUCGUUAUAGAUUCUUCAGAAAAGCUGAAACAAAACUGAAAAGUCAACAUGCAAAUGAAAGACUGCAUCAGCAAAAGUUAUUGCGAAAGCCGAAAGUGUUGAUGCACCUGUUUUUCUGCCCAGCCUGUUUCUUCAAACCGCUAUCGCCAUGAAACACCCGUCGCUUCAUACUGCAGCUAACAGCGAACCUUAAUCCUAAAACGCUCGAACCGGUAGCUGCGCGACCAUCAGGAGGGCGAAUCCGAUUGUCCAUCGUUAGCGUCGGUUGCAUUUUGUGGUGCAUUAGCUUUUAGCUUCUGCUGACAUUCAAUAUCCAGGCUUCGGAGCCAUCCGUAUCUAAACGUAGCUGGAAGGACUGGCGGGGUUGUAGAUCUAGAUGUCAACAUGAUGUGGCGCUUCAUGAGGCAGCAAAAUCCUAGCAUGAGGAGAACAAAACAUCGGAACAAAAUUCGUGUGUACAUUUCGCGGUGACACCGUUGAGGCGUCGACAGCUGGCUUCUGAGGUGGGAAGGGUUUUCAUCCGGCAAAUGGUGCGUACAGAGGGAGCGGAAUUGGCAUUGCAAUCCCUCAACCCCUGCUUCGUGUGCGAAACCUCCGAGAGAAGAACACAUUUAUUUCCUUUAGUCGCCCUCACAGGGAGGCAUUAGCCUUUCAUCAGCUGGCUGGCAAAGGUACUAGCUGACGGUUGCUCGAUGCCUUUCGAGUGGUCUUGAAAAGCUUACCUCAUUGCAUUAGCAGAAGACUGGCUGCUGGGAGGGAUGGAGUCGGCAACCCAAGCACGUUUCAUGUUGCGUGUUAUUCGUUUAGUCGCUCCGAAACGUUCGCGGUUCGGGGUUGGAAAUGGGAUUAAGGUUGACCGAGCGACUCGCACCGUUACGGUAUGGAUCGGGUGGCCAAUCCGAUGACAUAAGAAAAUCCCCUCUAAUUGGUCACGCCGUCGACGGUAGCGUCCACGAUUCGGUUGAAGCAUCUUUCUGCACUUCCUGCUCCCUAAACGCAUCACAAAUAGGUCCUCGGAUGGUCGCACUGGUAAGAUUAUCGUUAUCGUUUGCGCGCAGCAAAACUUCCAAAUUACUCCCUAUUUUCAUACCGUAAUCGGUCUAACGAUGUAGCGUCCUUUGCACUUUUGCUUUCCUAUGACUAAAGCCGAGUUCUGCCAACCUGAGUUAUUACUUCACAGAUCCUGAAUUGCGAGCUGAUGAGGAGUCGCGCAUGGAUGCUGUAAGUUGUGGUUGUGAUGUAAACGUUUUCACUUGAAAUCUCCGUAUAGUCGGCGAGCUGUCUUCUCUACAACGCUCUGGUCACAAUGGUGAAAGACGUAGACGAGUACGUUCAUGCAAAUUAGCAAGCAGCUGCACUGGGAGGCAGGGAAAGUACAAAGUACGGAAAUAUGAGACACAUUUUUCAAAGCGAAUACAAACACUACCACCAAAAGGGGGCUAAGAUUCAAAAGAAAAAGAAAAAAACGUAGCAAGUAUCUUGAAUGAGUUGAAAAUGUCUGCACGCUUAGUUAAUGUGUGCUUAAAUUAGGCGACGCUCUAUCUCGUACCGUCUUGACUUUAUUGUCUUCGAAGACGAUAGCUAAGCUGAUGAGGAAAAAUAUAUUAGGCCACUCGAGGCGCAACACGGAUUAUGAAAAGUCAGUCGUCGACAUUGCAGCUUUUUUACCAAAUCUGGAAUUAACUAGGGCCGCUUAAGGUGUGGACUGUAUUUAAAUGUAUAUAAACGCUACUUCUUGAUGACUCGCACAUACAGGCAAGGAUAAUAAAGAUUACGGAACCGCUUGAUGUCGUUGGGUUGUUUUAAAUUCCAACACGUAGCUUUGCCAUGGUCGUUUAGUACGUCUAGUUAGGGAUUGAUGUAGGGAAGGAAACCAUAGUUUAUGUUCAAGUCACUAUAAGCAUCUUUCCACCUCGCUGGCAAAUACUGGAUUAAACAAAUUGCCGGAAGAAAAUUAUACGCUUAUUUAAAAAAUCAACAAUUGGACAAUGUAAUUUUGAUUAAUUAAAAGCAGCCUUAGUUUAUGACGAUGAAAGCGUUUAAGACUAAUAGACAAAGAUUUAAUUUUUGAAGGGGUUUAUUUUGGUUAACAUUACAAAUCUUCAAUCCACGAUAUUGAAUGUAUGUGCAGUUGUAACAGAAAAUAAAACAGCAUCUGCCUACGAUGUUAUUGCGUUGUUUAUUAAUAAAAAAUGUUUAUUGGUUUUUGUUUUUCCGUACCAGUAAAUCAACAAAAAACGCUUAAAACCCUGAUAGACCGUGCCCCCGACGUAAAACUGACUAUCCUGCUACGGAUAAUCAAUCAGUCACUGAAACUCAAGCUCACUAGAGGUACAUGUAGGCCUUGACAGACAGCGGUAGUUGUGCCAAAGAAGAAGAAGCAGAAGAAGUAAACAAUAAAUGUAAUCCCGUGUACUAUAGAAACAUUGCUUUUUGGUUAAGUUUUAAUGGACGGCUGCAUGUUUGAAAAUAAAUCACAAGUAAA